rnacentral:lncRNA from 10 species
CUGGAAUACCCUAUGUUAAUGCCAUUUCCCUUCCCCUUUUCCCUGAAGAGUCUUUUCUAAGGCACCAACUACUUCCUUCAAGCAGCAGCCAGAGAUCUUUGCUUAAUGGCUGAGAAACACAGAGGAGAGACCCAGAGAGAAGGAGAAGGCCGCAUGAAGAUGGAGCAGAGACUGGAGUUAUUCAGCCAAGUCAAGGAAUGCCUGGAGCACCAGAAGCCGGAAGAGGCAAGGAAGGAUCCUCCCUUAGAGCAUUUGGAAGAGUGUGGCCCUGCCAACACCUUGACUUCAAACUUCUGGCCUCCAUAACUAUGAAAUAAAUUCUUGUUGUUUUAAGCC